CACAGGUGGGAAGUGUGUGUC
rnacentral:miRNA from 7 species